rnacentral:rRNA from 1 species
ACGCACGCUGGCGGCGUGCUUAACACCUGCCAGUCGAACGAAGAGCGAUGGAAGCUUGCUUCUAUCAAUCUUCGUGGCGAACGGGUGAGUAACGCGUAAUCAACCUGCCCUUCAGAGGGGGACAACAGUUGGAAACGACUGCUAAUACCGCAUACGAUCUAACCUCGGCAUCGAGGAUAGAUGAAAGGUGGCCUCUACAUGUAAGCUAUCACUGAAGGAGGGGAUUGCGUCUGAUUAGCUAGUUGGAGGGGUAACGGCCCACCAAGGCGAUGAUCAGUAGCCGGUCUGAGAGGAUGAACGGCCACAUUGGGACUGAGACACGGCCCAGACGCCUACGGGAGGCAGCAGUGGGGAAUCUUCCGCAAUGGACGAAAGUCUGACGGAGCAACGCCGCGUGAGUGAUGACGGCCUUCGGGUUGUAAAGCUCUGUUAAUCGGGACGAAAGGCCUUCUUGCGAAUAGUUAGAAGGAUUGACGGUACCGGAAGAGAAAGCCACGGCUAACUACGUG